rnacentral:rRNA from 1 species
AAGAGUGCGUAAUAGCUCACUGGUCGAGUGACUCUGCGCGGAAAAUGUAACGGGGCUAAGCGUACUACCGAAGCUGUGGAUUGACACCAACGGUGUCAGUGGUAGGGGAGCGUUCCUGCAGCAGUGAAGUCAGACCGGAAGGACUGGUGGAGCGGCAGGAAGUGAGAAUGCCGGUGUA